rnacentral:rRNA from 1 species
GCAUAUCAAUAAGCGGAGGAAAAGAAACCAACCGGGAUUGCCUCAGUAACGGCGAGUGAAGCGGCAAGAGCUCAAAUUUGAAAGCUGGCCCCUCCGGGGUCCGCGUUGUAAUUUGCAGAGGAUGCUUCGGGUGCGGCCCCUGUCUAAGUGCCCUGGAACGGGCCAUCGGAGAGGGUGAAAAUCCCGUCUGGGAUGGGGUGUCCGCGCCCGUGUGAAGCUCCUUCGACGAGUCGAGUUGUUUGGGAAUGCAGCUCUAAAUGGGUGGUAAAUUUCAUCUAAAGCUAAAUACUGGCCGGAGACCGAUAGCGCACAAGUAGAGUGAUCGAAAGAUGAAAAGCACUUUGAAAAGAGAGUUAAAUAGCACGUGAAAUUGUUGAAAGGGAAGCGCUUGCGACCAGACUCGCUCGCGGGGUUCAGCCGGGAUUCGUCCCGGUGCACUUCCCCGCGGGCGGGCCAGCGUCGGUUUGGGCGGCCGUUCAAAGGCCCCGGGAAUGUAGCGCCCUUCGGGGCGCCUUAUAGCCCGGGGUGCAAUGCGGCCAGCCCGGACCGAGGAACGCGCUUCGGCACGGACGCUGGCAUAAUGGUCGCAAACGACCCGUCUUGAAACACGGACCAAGGAGUCUAACAUCUACGCGAGUGUUCGGGUGUCAAACCCGUGCGCGCAGUGAAAGCGAACGGAGGUGGGAGCCCCCUGAGGGGCGCACCAUCGACCGAUCCUGAUGUCUUCGGAUGGAUUUGAGUAGGAGCGUAGCUGUGGGGACCCGAAAGAUGGUGAACUAUGCCUGAAUAGGGCGAAGCCAGAGGAAACUCUGGUGGAGGCUCGCAGCGGUUCUGACGUGCAAAUCGAUCGUCAAAUUUGGGGUAUAGGGGCGAAAGACUAAUCGAACCAUCUGGUAGCUGGUUCCUGCCGAAG